rnacentral:rRNA from 1 species
GACGAACGCUGGCGGCGUGCUUAACACAUGCAAGUCGAACGAUGAUCUCCCGCUUGCGGGGGUGAUUAGUGGCGAACGGGUGAGUAAUACGUGAGUAACCUGCCCUUGACUCUGGGAUAAGCCUGGGAAACCGGGUCUAAUACUGGAUACUACUUCCUGCCGCAUGGGGGGGGGUGGAAAGGGUUUUACUUGUUUUGGAUGGGCUCACGGCCUCUCAGCUUGUUGGUGGAAUAAUUGCUCACCAAGGCGACGACGGGUAGCCGGCCGGAGAGGGUGACACGCCACCCUGGGACUGAGACACGGCCCAGACUCCGAAGGGAGGAAGCAGUGGGGAAUAUUGCACAAUGGGCGGAAGCCUGAUGCAGCGACGCCGCGUGAGGGAAGACGGCCUUCGGGUUGUAAACCUCUUUCAGCAGGGAAGAAGCCACAAGUGACGGUACCUGCAGAAGAAGCGCCGGCUAACUACGUG